UACGUAGGGUGCGAGCGUUAAUCGGAAUUACUGGGCGUAAAGCGUGCGCAGGCGGUUUUGUAAGUCAGAUGUGAAAUCCCCGGGCUUAACCUGGGAAUGGCAUUUGGGACUGCAAGGCUCGAGUGCGGCAGAGGAGACUGGAAUUCCUGGUGUAGCAGUGAAAUGCGUAGAUAUCAGGAGGAACACCGAUGGCGAAGGCAAUCCCCUGGACCUGUACUAACGCUCAUGCACGAAAGCGUGGGGAGCAAACAGG
rnacentral:rRNA from 1 species